rnacentral:rRNA from 1 species
AAUUGGAAUGAGUACACCUUAAAUCGUUUAACGAGUAUCAAUUGGAGGGCAAGUCUGGUGCCAGCAGCCGCGGUAAUUCCAGCUCCAAUAGCGUAUAUUAAAGUUGCUGCAGUUAAAAAGCUCGUAGUUGGAUCUGGGGCUUGAGGUCGCUGUCUAUCGUUUCGGCGAUGACGGUGAUGCUCAGCUCUGCUUGCCGGUGACUGUUGCGGUGUUCUUAAUUGAGCGCUGUAGCAGCACGGCACGUUUACUUUGAAAAAAUUAGAGUGCUCAAAGCGUGCUUGUCGCUUGAAUAAUGUUGCAUGGAAUAAUGGAAUAGGACCUCGGUUCUAUUUUGUUGGUUUUCGGAGCUUGAGGUAAUGAUUAAGAGGGACGAACGGGGGCAUUCGUAUUGCGGUGUUAGAGGUGAAAUUCUUGGAUCGCCGCAAGACGGACUACUGCGAAAGCAUUUGCCAAGAACGCUUUCAUUAAUUAAGAACGAAAGUCAGAGGUUCGAAGACGAUCAGACACCGUCCUAGUUCUGACCAUAAACGAUGCCGACCAGCGAUCCGUAGUCGUUGCUUUAUGGACCCUACGGGCAGCCUCCGGGAAACCAAAGUAUUUGGGUUCCGGGGGAAGUAUGGUUGCAAAGCUGAAACUUAAAGGAAUUGACGGAAGGGCACACCAGGAGUGGAGCCUGCGGCUUAAUUUGACACAACACGGGAAAACUCACCCGGUCCGGACACCGUAAGGAUUGACAGACUGAUAGCUCUUUCUUGAUUCGGUGGAUGGUGGUGCAUGGCCGUUCUUAGUUGGUGGAGUGAUUUGUCUGGUUAAUUCCGAUAACGAACGAGACUCUAGCCUGCUAAGUAGUGUGUCUAUUGUGAUAUGGUAUACACUUCUUAGAGGGACAAGUGGCAUUUAGCCACGCGAAAUUGAGCAAUAACAGGUCUGUGAUGCCCUUGAUGUCCGGGGCCGCACGCGCGCUACACUGGAGGAGUCAGCGUGUGUUAUCCGAGUCCGAAAGGAUUGGGUAAUCCGUUGAACCUUCUUCGUGCUUGGGACUGUGGCUUGGAACUAUUCCACAUGAACGAGGAAUUCCUAGUAAGUGCAAGUCAUUAGCUUGCGUUGAUUACGUCCCUGCCCUUUGUACACACCGCCCGUCGCUACUACCGAUUGAAUGGUUUAGCAAGGUCCUCGGAUCGUGGCCGUAGGGGCACGCAAGUGUUUCUGCGGUUUGCGAGAAGACGACCAAACUUGAUCAUUUAGA